ensembl:lncRNA
CAAGGAAUUGUAAAAGACUUUCACAUAGAAAGGCAAAUGAAAAACUCCAAUUGAGAAAUAGGUCUGCUGGUGGGGAAAAAAAAUAAUGCUGCGUGUAGAAAUCUCUAAGCUUUCAUCCAUUUCUAGGAAACUGGAAUGGGAGGAGCAUUCCUCCUACUCCUGAAGACAUCUGCAGUGUGGGGAUAUAGGGAAACUACUGCAGUACAAGCAUGACUUUAGCAAAUUAAAGUUUGUCAGAAUCUCAGCAAACUUUCCACUGAUCUGGGUUCACUUAUGCUUUUGUUACAGUUCUGGGCUUCUUUCUGAUGUUUCCCUUUGGACGUGUACUUUAAAACUAUUUCAUGAACUUGAGAUGCUUGAUUGUCCGCACAGUCUCAAGAGUAAGCAAGAUAUUUCUUUCUAUGGUCGUCUUCUUCCUCCUCCUCCUGCCUCGUUUUCAACUCAGCAUCUGGCAAAGAUGGACAAACUCUGGGACGUAAAAAUUCCCUUAACUAUUUACUAUGGUAAAAAGCAUUCUUUUUUUACCCUUGAGAGGAGCACAAAGAGACUCCCUAAAGGAAGGAAGAACUUCCUAAUGUGAAAAUAAACUACUAGAAAAUACAGCCCUGGCCCAUUUAUAAAAAGAGAACAGAUGCAGCAUGGAAGAAACAGUAAGAGAAUGCUUUUUCUUUGUCAUCCGUGGUGGUUUACCUAAGGACAUGGAAGCUAGCUUCUGGCAACACAGAUCCCUGCUGACAAAGGAGGCAUGUUCCAUCUCCCAGGUACCCAAAGCUGCUCUAGUAGAAGACAUCAGAAUCCAAAAUCUUCUGAUUCCUGACAAAUACCUCCUUUUGGUUGAAGUUGGCAAAAUGAAAGCAAAGGCUGGUCAGCACAUUUUCCAUCAUAAUCUAAGACUACGCAGAUGGAUCACAAAGAACUUCAGCAGUCAACACUACAUGCUUUAACGCGGACUAAAGCAAACUCAAGAUAAGCUUCAUCAAUAGCUGGAAGUGAACUUAAAAACAAAAAUGUUCAAAGCCAUUACGAAAUGAAAGCUACCUGUGAGGUACUGUGACACUAGAAGCUCCCAGGCUGAAUGAAAUAUGAAACUUGCUGGAAGAGUACAACACAGGUUACAUGCACCUUGCAACAGUUAUCCCACAAGGAUACAGAAAAGCUGAAAUGUUUUUUGAGAUCCAAGGGGAGGUUCAAGAAUUACAAUUAUAAAAAGCACAAGCACUUAGCGCUAACACCUCCAAACAGUAUCUCAAGUACAGGAAGGAUGGCCCCCAGACACAAGCCCUCAGAGCUGGACCUGAAGCAACAUGCUCUCAAGCUUCGUGAAGCCCGGAACCUCUCUCUGCUUCCAGCAGUGUGCAAAGACACCCUGCAGUACUAGGCUAUUAAUCAAUGCCUAAAGGCAAAACAAAAAGCUGUGUUCAGACUUCACACAGCUGCAACUUCUUCCACCUAAACCCCAGAGGUCCGAAAAUCUCUUUGAUUAGUAGGAACAAGUGUUCCACGAGUAACUAAUCCACAGAGGAGUAAGUGCGAGAGCAUCAAAGUGUCCAUAAACACUCAAAUUGCUCAGCACAGCUAGGCAUUCAGCCUUUAAAAAUGCAGCCUCACUGAGAAACUAUGCACCAUGAACAAACCAGUCACCAAGUACACCAAAGGCGAGGCAAAGAAACACAUCACUGAAACACUAUUUUGUGUUCCCACCAGUUUAACUCAUCUUCAUACAAAGACAGUAUGAAACAUAAGGUACUUUGGUUACCAUUAAAAAAAAAACACUUUAAUAUAAAACAUUAAGAAAUGGUGUCCUUAAGCUAGAUCAGGAGUCUCGUAUCCUUAAAGACUGUGUUAAGUGUGAAGCUGUCAGUAGCAUUAGUAUUCACUAACGACAAGAGGAAUUUUGUCCCAUUUAUAACAAGCUGUUAUGCUUUCCCUAUCUGUGAAGAGCCAGUGCAGUCAAGCCAUGGGAAAUAUAAGAAAAUUACUGGAAUUAGCAGGGGUGUAUACGUUUCUGUGUUUCUAGGAAGGCUGAAGUACGAGAAUUUCACAGAUGUGGGGACUUUUGAGAGCGUUCCAAUUGAAACAAACUUGCAACAAACCCUGCGGAGAGGUUCAUUCAACAGGAUGAGCUAACCAAGAAAACAGUCAUUUCUGGCUAGUUGCAUCAAUAUUAGCAGCAGCUGUGAACUCGGUAAACAGCUCUGUUUUCUGGUUGUCAAAGAGCUGCUAAAGCAGAUGUGAAACUCAUCAAAAAUAGGUCACGAGCAGAGAACAUGCAAGGGAAUGCAUCAAUACCAGAGUGAUCUGAAAAUAAGCAAUGCUGGAUUAUCUCAAUAGUUUUUAUUACCCCCAAAUCGUACCUAACACACAACAGCAACCAACAUACUCUUUAAUGUGAUUGCUAUGACAGGACCUUCCUCAUAGCACACUGGGUGAAUAAGGGUGUGGUGUUUUCAGCAGCUGAAGUACCAGAAAGAAGAAAAGGUACUGAAUUGCUCUCUGCUUACUUCUGAAUGAGGUUUUCUGAGGCAGGUUUUCAUGCCUGUCCUUCUUCUCAAACUCUAAUCAUCUCAGACUGAGGUAUCACAAUAAGCCAAACACAGAAUUCGCCACAGCUUAUUUUACUUUUGCCACUACAAACAGAUUACAAGUACACUCUGUCCGAUAGGCAACCCUCCAGCAACAGCCAUUCCUCCACGGGCAGGAAUCGUGGCCAACACAGCAAUGACCUUCCCCCCUCGUGGCCCACAGGACCCACUUCCUCAGAAUUCCCCCAUACGGAAAUUCACUUGGAUCUACUUCUAGGACUCUCACAGUAUGUAAAACACUUAACUUUCUUUACUGUCAAGAAUAUAAAGGCAGAAGGCUUAGCUCUAAAGGAAACAGACUAAGAAAAAAAAAUGGCGUGCUUCUUCUACAGUGGGACUAAACAAGGAACCUGUAUGUCCUGCUAUUGCUGCACCGAAUCUCCAUGGCCAUCCUUCACAGUGCAGGUGUGAGGCUGCCUUUGGCCAAAUGCCUUCAACAAGCUGAGUUGAAGCCCCAUAGCCUGAAGCAGACAAGUACUUCCCCAGUCAGUCAGUUACUGGGUGAGGACAGACACUCUCUUCUCUGGUUGUUUCCACUUCCACUACAAUGGCAGAUUUUACCUCCAACACCUAAUGACAUCAUAUAAUAAAACACUAGUAAGGAGGAGCUAGUCAAACCAACAAACAGAAAAGCCACUGUUAGCCUGAAAGUUAAUGUCAUGUUCAAAUGGGAGAAAACAGGUCUUCGGGAAGCAUUCAGAAAAAAUACUCCUUCAUUUAAGUAGCAGCAGCUCAGAAUAAAGCACUGAAAAAAAUAGAAACCGUGAAGAGGCUUCAGUUUAUUGAUGUUCCAAACCAGCUUUCCAGAAUUUCAGAAGAGAGGGAGGAGAGAGGGGGGAAAAGAGUUCACAUCCAACUUAAAAGAAAUCCCAUGACUUAUCUCAGUCGGAAGCCUUUGCUGAGCCAAAUGUAUGUGCAUUUUAGCACACAUUUCCUAUACCACAGAACCUAGGGUGAAACAUGGUUGUUGAUUACCAUAUUAAAACGGGUGUC